rnacentral:lncRNA from 1 species
UCCCGUUUCCAGCGAAGGCCUCAAAGAGGUCCAAAUAUCCACUUGCAGACUUUACAAACAGAGUGUUUCCAAACUGCUCUAUGAAAAGAAAGCUUAAACUCUGUGAGUUGAACGCACACAUCACAAAGUAGUUUCUGAGAAUGAUUCUGUCUAGUUUUUAUACGAAGAUAUUUCCUUUUCUUCCUUUGGCCUCAAAGCGCUUUCAAUCUCCACUUGCAAAUUCCACAAAGAGUGUCUCAAAUCUGCUCUGUCUAAAGGAAGGUUCAACUCUGUGAGUUGAAUACACACAACACAAAGAAGUUACUGAGAAUUCUUCUGUCUAACAUUAUGUGAAGAAAUCCCGUUUCCAACGAAGGCCUCAAAGAGGUCCAAAUAUCCACUUGCAGACUUAACAAACAGAGUGUUUCCAAACUGCUCUAUGAACAGAAAUGUUAAACUCUGUGAGUUGAACACACACAUCACAAAGUAGUUUCUGAGAAUGAUUCUGUCUAGUUUUUAUACGAAGAUAUUUCCUUUCUACCAUUGGUCUCAAAUCUCUUGAAAUCUCCACUUGCAAAUUCCACAAAAAGAGUGUUUCAAAUCUGCUCUGUCUAAAGGAAGGUUCAACUCUGUGAGUUGAAUACACAAAACGCAAAGCAGUUACUGAGAAUUCUUCUGUCUAGCAUUAUAUGAAGAAAUCCCAUUUCCAACGAAG